UCCGAAACUAGUCGGUGCUUCGCCGGAGGAUAAAAGCUUCCUAUCAUCCCGGACUGGGUUCGCGGCGAAUCUCUGGCACUGUGGGCCACACACGACGCUCCCCUCGUCAAGUUCCUUAACACAACUGUGAAUAAAAUCACCACUGCUGAUGAGGAUGAAGGUGUUGGGGGCUCGCAGGCGCUAGUAGGCGCUGUGCUGGGCGCCAAGGCGGCCGCACAGCUGCUGACGG